CGGGUGAGUAAUAUAUAGUUAAUGUGCCUCGAAGACUGGGAUAGCCACUGGAAACGGUGAUUAAUACUAGAUAGUCCUGCUAAACAUAAGUUUAGUUGGUAAAUGUUUUUUCGCUUCGAGAUCAGACUAUAUCCCAUCAGCUUGUUGGUAGUGUAAGAGACUACCAAGGCAAUGACGGGUAGCGGGUCUGAGAGGAUGAUCCGCCACACUGGUACUGAGACACGGACCAG
rnacentral:rRNA from 1 species